UCCUUGGUGGCCUAGUGGUUAGGGCUUGGCAUUUUCAUUGCUGUAGCCUGGGUUCAAUCCCUGGUCUAAGAA
rfam:Sus scrofa isolate TJ Tabasco breed Duroc chromosome 12, whole genome shotgun sequence.